UUCUAUGUCAUUAGAAAAUGCAUUGCAGAGGUGUUUAGGGCCAAGUAUAAUAACUUCAGUUUUGUCUGUGUUUAACAUCAAAAAGUUGCUAGACAUCCAAGUUUUUAUGUCCUUAAGGCAUGCUUGAAGUUUAGCCAAUUGAUUGGUUUCAUCUGGUUUAAUUGAUAGAUAUAAUUGGGUAUCAUCCGCAUAACAAUGAAAGUUUAUAGAGUGGUUCCUUAUAAUAUUGUAUUGUUGUAUCCUUCUCUUCUAGAUGAAAUACCUUUGCCUGAAGUACUUCAAUCGUCUGUAGAUGUCCACGGCAGUCCGUGCAGGGGGGCAUAUCCGUAAAAAUUAAAUGAAUAGUAGCAGAAAGAUGCAAGCAGAGAGGGCCCAGCUGUACAGCUGUAUGCCGACUGAUACCAUCUUUGGAGAUGCCACGCGCACUGAGACACUGAGGAUCAGUUUGGCAUCCUAUAUCCUAGAAUCUAUUGUGGAGACGUGUCGGGUACGUUCUGUUGAGAUGUACUUUAAAAGACAGAGGAUAAUUAAUACAAAAUAAACGUGUAUUACAUGAAUACAGCCCUGGCAGUCUAACUCAGUAACAAUUAUUAAUACAGUAUAAUUACUGCUACUGUUGGGUAACAUUAUAAAGAACGGCCUCCGUGUAAGAAAACUCCAAGGAAAAGGCACAUUGUACAUCUAAGUUGAUUAUCUUUUGCUGGAAUGGUUUUAGUCAGAUUUUUGUCAGCAGUAACGUUAAUAUGAAAUUAGAAAAAGUGACUCAGAGCAGGUAUAAAAGUACUGGAGAUUAUUAUCAAUUUAGCUAGCAAGUUAGUCAAACUAAAGUGGAUAGUGACCGUAACAUGUAACAAGCUUGUAAUCAUAAACCAACCUCCACGCUUCAACACGGUUCAACAUGUUGUGAAAAAAAACACUGCCAUUUCUACACAAAGUAAAAAUUUGCCUGCAGCUGAGUAGCACGACCAUUAGAACAUGAUAACGUAAGAUAGUGUUACAGGGUGAUGGUGUUUGUGUGGGGAUAUAUGUAAUGGCUGGUCCUGGUGGUGGUGCUGUCUUAGGUGGGGACUCUAAGGGCUUUCACAGGGUUUUCACUCCUGACUUGGAAAGACAUUUGGGGUGAAUGUGUAGUGAUUGGUGCGCUGGGCUCUGUAGAGGUGCUCUCCACCUGUCUCCUAUUAGUUAAUUAGGAAGAGCACAGGGGGCUCACCUGGAUAAAAAGCAGGGCUCACAGGCGCUGUUAAAUAGAGAGGAGACCAGAAGACGCUAGUCUAUUGCUUGGUCAUAAACAAGAAGGGGGGAAAAGCCGAGAGAACAGCCGACACCCAGCAGGAGGCAGAGGGAAGCAGACGGAGCUCAGCAUACGUGGCAUGCUGCAGCCGCUGGUCGUUGCAGUGGGAAAGCAGAGGGGUGAAUGUGCGCAUCACCCCUCCUCCAAUUAAGUUCUGCGUUAAUAUUUUCUUGUUAAUAGUGAAAUGUGAGGAAGCAAUACCAGCCCAUGCAGCAAAGGCAUUGGAUAAAUUGAUAUGAGCUAUACUGAAUAGAAAAAAACCCUACUUUUGUGUUUGUUCUUUUCUCCUAUUUUUUGUGUGAUACAUUUGGUUCCUUUGCAUUUGUUUUGAUUUGUUUGCAGUAUAUUUACUUUAUUUGCAUGGACAUUUAGUUUGUAUGUUUGCAGUGCAUUUAGUUAACAGAUUAUUUUUGGCUCACCCCUAUUAGUUUGAAUAGCUAUUAAACCCUACCAAAAGUAACCAUUGAUGCAGGAGUAGAAUAAGACAGAUAAGUCUGUUGAUUUGCUUUCGCCUUCUGUAUUUGCCAUUCGGAGACGCCACGAAGCGGUAGGGGAGCAGAGGCCACGCAAGUCUACGCGGCCAAAGCUAAAGCAGAACUUCUCAGAGCUGGAUUGGACACUGGACUCUUUUUAUGCUGAGACAUUUUAUGUAUUUUAAGA
ensembl:lncRNA